GACGAACCGUGCGAACGUUGUUCGGAAUCACUGGGCUUAAAGGGCGCGUAGGCGGGUCCGCCAGUCUGCGGGGAAAGCCCCCAGCUCAACUGGGGAAGUGCCGUGGAUACUGCGGGUCUUGAGGAGGGUAGGGGCAUCUGGAACAUUGGGUGGAGCGGUGAAAUGCGUUGAUAUCCAAUGGAACUCCGGUGGCGAAGGCGAGGUGCUGGACCCUUUCUGACGCUGAGACGCGAAAGCCAGGGGAGCGAACGGG
rnacentral:rRNA from 1 species